rnacentral:rRNA from 1 species
AACGAACGCUGGCGGCAGGCCUAACACAUGCAAGCCGAACGCUCUAGCAAUAGAGAGUGGCAGACGGGUGAGUAACGCGUGGGAACCUUCCCUAUGGUGUGGAAUAACUCGCCGAAAGGCGAGCUAAUACCGCAUAAGCCCGCAAGGGGAAAGAUUUAUCGCCAUAGGAUGGGCCCGCGUAGGAUUAGCUAGUUGGUGAGGUAAUGGCUCACCAAGGCGACGANCCUUAGCUGGUUUGAGAGAAUGACCAGCCACACUGGGACUGAGACACGGCCCAGACUCCUACGGGAGGCAGCAGUGGGGAAUCUUGGACAAUGGGCGCAAGCCUGAUCCAGCCAUGCCGCGUGAGUGACGAAGGCCUUAGGGUUGUAAAGCUCUUUUGGCGGGGACGAUAAUGACGGUACCCGCAGAAUAAGCCCCGGCUAACUUCGUGCCAGCCGCCGCCGU